GAUGAACGACGACAGAAUGCUAACACAUGCACAGUCAACUUGAAUUUGGGAUUUUAACUUAAGUUUGGGCAGCGGAAGGAGUGAGUAACGCGUAAAGAACUUGCCUCACAGCUAGGGACAACAUUUGGAAACGAAUGCUAAUACCUAAUAUUAUGAUAAUAGGGCAUCCUAUAAUUAUGAAAGCUAUAAGCGCUGUGAGAGAGCUUUGCGUCCCAUUAGCUAGUUGGAGAGGUAACGGCUCACCAAGGCGAUGAUGGGUAGCCGGCCUGAGAGGGUGAUCGGCCACAAGGGGACUGAGACACGGCCCUUACUCCUACGGGAGGCAGCAGUGGGGAAUAUUGGACAAUGGACCAAGAGUCUGAUCCAGCAAUUCUGUGUGCACGAUGAAGUUUUUCGGAAUGUAAAGUGCUUUCAGUUGGGAGGAAAGAAAUGACGGUACCAACAGAAGAAGUGACGGCUAAAUACGUGCCAGCAGCCGCGGUAAUACGUAUGUCACGAGCGUUAUCCGGAUUUAUUGGGCGUAAAGCGCGUCUAGGUGGUUAUGUAAGUCUGAUGUGAAAAUGCAGGGCUCAACUCUGUAUUGCGUUGGAAACUGUAUAACUAGAGUACUGGAGAGGUAAGCGGAACUACAAGUGUAGAGGUGAAAUUCGUAGAUAUUUGUAGGAAUGCCGAUGGGGAAGCCAGCUUACUGGACAGAUACUGACGCUGAAGCGCGAAAGCGUGGGUAGCAAACAGG
rnacentral:rRNA from 1 species